UCUGCUACAGGCUGACAUGAACCACGUCACCCUCGAUAUCGCAGUUUCACAUCUCUUCUCUCUCUAUAUGAUAGAUGGCUCUGACCGAACCGUUGCUUAAAACAGCACAAAACACAUAAUGCGAAUAUGCACCGUUCUGACAGUGAUGUGCGUCCUUCUGGCACCCACCACUGCAGGAGAAAGCUGCCGGCCUAUGGAAUAUGAUGUCAGUGGGAUAUGUUGUCCAAUGUGCGAUAAAGGAAGUGUUGUGAAGCGAAACUGCACCCAUGGCUCGAGUACGAGCUGCACGCCGUGUGAGAGAGGCACGUACAUGGACAUGGCCAGUGGACUGAGCCGGUGUUACAGCUGUCGAACCUGUAAAGCAGGUAGUGAACAAUCUUAAAGGUCCCAUGGCAUGCUACAUUAUGGAUGCUUUAAAAAGGUCCCAUGGCAUGAAAAUCUCACUUUAUGAGUUUUUCUAACAUAAAUAUAAGUCCCCCUAGCCUGCCUAUGGUCCCCCAGUGGCUAACACUUGCGUUCGAUGUAAAACGAGCACUAGGUGUUCUGCUCGCCUUUGAAAAAACGGAGGCUCAAGUGUUCUGAUUUGGAAUGUGGUCCCUUAUGUCGUCAUAAAGGAUCUAAGCUCCUCCCCUUUCGCUGCAUUGCCCGCCCAGAUCAUUUGGCCCGCCAAUGAGACAAGACCGUGUGAGCACCACUUGUGUGUGUGUGUGUGUGUGUGUGUUUGUGUGUGUGUGUGUGUGUGUGUGUGUGUGUGUGUGUGUGUGUGUGUGUGAUUACACACACUGUAACGCAAGUGUUUGCUGUUGGUGUUAUGGCGCUGUUACGUAUUUUAAGCACAUAAGCUGCCCCCACAUGGCCACUAGGAAGCAGGAUCGAACACACAAGCUGCAUUACCCCCACAUAGCCACAUGGGAGCAAGAUCGAACACAUAAGCUGUAAUUACUAUACAUAGCCACAAGGGGAGCAGGACCCGACAUACAAGCUGCAAUAACUACUCCAGCCACAGAUGGCAGCACCUUGAGACGAGUGAAGAGGGCGGAGCCAAUACGUCAGGCCACGCCUACUUGAUACAAACCAGAGCGGGAGUCAGAUUUGAGGUCAGAGACAGGUGGCAGCCCCAUUGAGAGACCCGGGGGAAGCCCCGGGGCUGGAGGAUAGCUCUGCGGUAUUUUUCUCCACACGUGUUAAAUACAAUUCCUCCCCUUUUUGCUUCAUAGUUAGCAUACCAAAAUACUUUAACAAAUAAAGUGAGUUAAAAGCGACCCGGAUUGGACUACUUACUUACAAGAACACGACAUUGCAUAACACCUAGGUUCUUUGACGUCUCUUGUAUUUACACAACAAGACUGUAGUUGGGGUUAUCUCAGCCAUGGUUGAGAAGGAAUUGGCGGAAAGGAACUUUGGCUUUGACUCCCUGAAGUACAUGAACUGUGACAUGCUGCCUGCCGCCGGUUGCCGCGAGGCACCACCGCCGCGAAGCACCACCCAGCAGCGGGCAGCCGGCAGCAGGCAGCGCGCAGUUCUGUCUACUACAGAUUGAUGUGGAAGUGGAAGAACCAGAGACGUCGGAGAACCUGACGAGGUCCUUUGUGAUUCAUUAUAUCGUCUGGACGUGCACACAGCUUUUGGCCGUGAUAAUAUGUAUUAUUUGAUAUAGAUAUCUAUGUAUUAUAUGAUAUUAUUUAGAUAAAGAGCUCCAGGACUGUAACGCAAGUGUUGUACACUUCCUUGUUAUUUGGAUAAGCGUUCUGCUGUUGGUGUUAUGGCGCAUAACACGUCGGACUCUCGUCUCUGGUAUUUCCACAACGAGACUCGUAGUGGGGGUUAUCUCAGCCACGGUUGAGAAGGAAUUGGUGGGAAAGGAGCUUUUGGCCUUGGCUCCCUGAAGUACAUGAACCACGACAUGGAGGAGAAAGGGAUUGUUGCCCGCGAAUGUCUCCCGCUUGGGCACCGCUUCCCGCUGCCGAGGGACCACCGCCUCGGCGCUGCAGGUGGCAGUGGUGCCUAAGCGCUGACCGGCGGUCCCUCGGCAGCGAGGCUCCGGCGGGAGACAACCGCGGUCAACAAUCGCAGAAAACAAACCCUUUCUCCUCCAUGUCGUGGUUCAGUCUACUUCAGAUUGAUGUGGACGUGGAAGGACCAGAGACGUCGGAGAACCCGAAGCGGCCGUUUGAGAUUCAUAAUAUCGUCUGGAGGCUCACACAGCUUUUGGCCGUGAUAAUAUGAUCAUAUGAUAUAGAUAUCUAUGUAUAAUAUGAUAUUAUUUAGAUAGAGAGCUCCAGGACUGUAAGGCAAGUUAGAGUCGCAGUUCUGAUAAAUAAAAUGUAGAAAAAUACAAACUUAAGAUAUGGGGGGGGCCUCUCCCAACCGCUAAGCACACAUAAAGCUGUUGGAAGGCCGCACUCGGUCACAAGAAGCGCAACGUCUGUCACCUCCCUGCACCAGCCCAUUCCCCAACAGCGCCAUGGAGCAGGAGAACAAGGUCUGGUAGCAGAACGGGAGUGCACCAGAGAACAGGACUCAGCCUGCACCGUAUUGGAUGGCUUCUACUGCCAGGAGCCCAACCAGGAAUCAGGCUGCACUCUGGCUCAGAAACACACCCAGUGUAAUGCUAGCCAGAUGACUAAAUUACCUGGAACCAGGGGCACUGACACGGUCUGUGAGGACUGCAAGACUGGAUAUUAUUCUACAGGUGGUAAUAAAUGUACAGAAUGGAAAAGCUGCGGGAAUGGAAAUGUGCUGCAAAAGGGAAGCCAAACCAAAGACGCGGUCUGCAACACAGCCCCAAGAAGACAUCACUAUGUUGUACUAUUAUCAGUGCUGCUGCUGUUGUUGCCUGGUUAGUUAAAGGAGACAUCAGGUGUCAAAUGGAUCUGGGAUAUGUUUGGUAUGAUAACGAGUUGGAAUGCUCGUUUGGGAGCAAAAAAGCGCACAUAGACGUAUUCUUAAGUUGGCUGUUUUUAGCCGAUUCUACCAAAACGCUAUAAACUUGGAACGAUAGGGGCAUGUCUCAUGGUAAAAACGAAAUCACUAUUUUAAACCACUUCCAAGGCUAGAAGUAGCCCGACACUUCUUUGGUAGUAUAAUAAGGGUCUUAACAUGUAAAACAAGGCUUGAUUACUUUGUAAGUGCAGAUUGUUUAUUAAAAAGGAUGGGUAGAUUGGCGAACACAGAGCUUGUGACAUCCGUCAACAACACGCAAGCUCUGUGUUCGCUAGGGGUGUAACGGUACACUACACGUAUUUGUACCGAACCGUCACGGUACAGGCACUUCGGUGCGGUUACAGAGGUAUACCGCAAUACGUAAAUGUGGCGUACAUAGCGUUAAUAUGGCGAAUGUAAAGGCUUGUUUUGCGAUGCAGAAUUUAAAACUUGAAGUAGGAGUUCCACGUAGUUAGUCAUUCGAUUGUGCUACAAGAGCUACAUGUUUCACUUUUAUUAUGCUAACGAAGUGGUUUUGUGGGUUUUCAACAUGUUAAGUCAUCGUCCCCAUAGAUAGAUAGACUUUAUUGAUCCCUUGGGAAUGCUCCUUCAGGGAAAUUCAAAAUUCCAGCAGCGGUAGUACAGACAACUCACAAAAACGAGCAAGAAAAACACACACUAAAAUGCAUCAAGACAUGAUAUAAAUAAACACAUUUUAAGAAGAAGCAGCAGCAGCAGGUGUUAGCAGCAAUUAUAUCUUAUUUGUGUUCUUGUUUAAUAAAUGGAGUGUGUAGCAAUAAAUAAAUAAAUAGAUUAUGCAAGCUCGAUCAGUCUAUCCCAGUGGUUUUCAAACUGUGGGGCGCGCCCCCCCUGGGGGGCGCCAGAGUUCUUCAGGGGGGGCGCGACGUGAGAAAAAAAUAAACCCGAAGAAAACCCUGAAAGACGAUGAUUCAAAUCAUCAGUCGUACUUCAACUGUAGAAGUAACAUAACUAAAUCAAUUUUCAACCGUUUAUCUUCGUGCAAACCAUUUAACAAAUCUACACACUUGUAUCUUCAAUAAUAUCGAAACAGAAUUUCGAUAUCAUUUAAAAUGUCUUCAGAAUCACAGUUUUAGUUUCAUACUGCUUCGUUUUCAGCUGUUUUCAUUGAAGACGUCAGCCCAUUCUGAUACACCUACUUCUAGACAUCGUAACUCAUUCCUUUUUCAACCGUUUACCUUCGUUCAAACCAUUAAACAAAUCUACACACUUGUAUCUUCAAUACUAUCUAAACGGAAUUUUGAUAGCAUUUAUACUUUUUUCAGAAUCACAGUUUUAGUUUCAAACCGGCGUCGUUUUCAGUUGGUUAUAAUUUUGAGGUCACCAUAGCAACGCCGGUAAACAAACCCCGCCGAAUAGUCGAAUCUCUGGACUGAAAAGGCAGAUCUGAUUCGACUCAGAAAAUUCAGAGUCGGGGACCCUGAAUGAAUCUGUAAACUGGCAGUUUACACAGAUUAAGAUGUUCAAAUGUAUUUAAAAAGGUUAAGCUAAAACAUGCUUAGAUAAAGUUGUUACAUUUUGUUGUUUAAAAACGCAAAAAGAUGUAAUGUUUCAGAAAUAUGUUUAAAAAAUAUGUUAAAAAAUUUGUUUCAAAUGUUUCAAAAAUAUGUUCCAAAUGUUUUAAAAAUUAUGAUCGGAGAUGUUUGAAAUGUGUAAAAUAAUUAAAAUAGCUUUCAAA